rnacentral:rRNA from 1 species
UACGGAGGGGGCUAGCGUUGUUCGGAGUUACUGGGCGUAAAGCGCACGUAGGCGGAUUGUUAAGUCGGGGGGUGAAAUCCUGGAGCUCAACUCCAGAACUGCCUUUGAUACUGAAGAUCUUGAGUUCGGGAGAGGUGAGUGGAACUGCGAGUGUAGAGGUGAAAUUCGUAGAUAUUCGCAAGAACACCAGUGGCGAAGGCGGCUCACUGGCCCGAUACUGACGCUGAGGCACGAAAAGCGUGGGGGAGCAAACAGG